rnacentral:rRNA from 1 species
GAUGAACGCUAGCGGGAGGCCUAAUACAUGCAAGUCGAGCGGUAGAGUGACUUCGGUUGCUUGAGAGCGGCGAACGGGUGAGUAACGCGUACACAAUCUACCUUUAAGAGGGGAAUAGCCCUGGGAAACUGGGAUUAAUGCCCCAUGGCAUCACGAGACGGCAUCGUUUUGUGAUUAAAGCUGAGGUGCUUAGAGAUGAGUGUGCGUCUGAUUAGCUAGUUGGUGCGGUAACGGCGCACCAAGGCGACGAUCAGUAGGGGGCGUGAGAGCGUGGACCCCCACACGGGUACUGAGACACGGACCCGACUCCUACGGGAGGCAGCAGUAAGGAAUAUUGGUCAAUGGAGGAAACUCUGAACCAGCCAUCCCGCGUGCAGGAAGAAUGCCCUAUGGGUUGUAAACUGCUUUUAUCUGGAAGAAAAGUCGGGAUUUAUCCUGAUCUGACGGUACCAGAGGAAUAAGCACCGGCUAACUCGUGCCAGCAG